GCGGCGCGGUGCUGCGACCGCAGCUCCUGCAGGCGGUGACCGCGCGUUUCCCUGCAGGAGCAGAAAAUGAACGGCAGUCGCACCGCUGCGCUGCGCUGUGAGCGGUGUAUCGCACUGAUAACGUUUUAAGCAGGUGAACGAUGCGGGCGGGCGUCCUUAGCUUCCUAGACUGAAAGUGAAAUCCGUCCCUGAACGAGGCCGUUUGCUAUCCUGUAGGGGGGCACUGAUCGGGUUCCGAAGCUGUUGGCUGCAAGUCAGCCCUGAAAGGGAAUCUCCGGGUUGUGAAGUUGUUCUGUGAGUGGGUAAGCCCCGGCAGGUGCUGUGCGGCCGCUCAGAUGCAAAUCGUCCUGAAUGGAAAAGGAGAUGGAAGGGAGGCUAAAUCGUCGGAAAAAGGAAGCAAAGCAAACAAAACAACAAUUAAAAAAAAAAAAUCGAAGUGUGAAAAGGUAGGAAAAGAAGAGAGAGGUCAGCAGAAAUGACGGGAGGAGGAAGAGGAAAACUGGAAGGAGUGAAAAAAAAGGAGAGAAGAAACGUGGUAUGUGGAAUGGGCAAAGACAGGCAGUAAUAGCAGUUAAUAGCAGUUACUAACUGCACACCAGUGGUUUUUUGGGUUUUGUUUUGUUUUUUUUUUUUCACUUAGGAACUAAGCGAGACAGCUGAAAAAAUGACUCACAAGAUGCAAGUGAUGCAACAGUUCUCACAACAGCACAAAUUCACCCGUCUUUCAUGUAAGUAUUUCAUAGUCCUGCUUUCCAGGACAACGACACAGAUCCUUGUUAUCCACGAUGUUAUUGGUGAGGAGUUCAGUAUUGAUUAGUUCUAGCCCCAGUAUUUAGUUUUCUGGGUGAAUGCCACCGAGAUAGCGAGGUGCCUGCUGAGCACAAGGGCACAGCCAAGCCUCCAGCUAUGCAUCCCUUUGUUUUAGUUUGCUCGUGCCACGCUUUGAGGAUGGUUUUAGCUUGCAAUGUUGUUUGUCUCUGGCUUUUUUUUUUUUUCACGAGCGUUUGGUGAGGAUGUCAACGCAUCACAGGGCUGGCUGUCCAUGGAUUCAUGUGGGAAGGAGAGAUGGUUGUCACUGCCAACAGCUCUAAUACAGACCUGAGCAGUCUCACUGCAAGCCUUCAGGAAAUCAGGUUCACUUGUUCAGUGCAUCUGGGUGCUUCUGAUUUGAUGCUAGCAGUGAUGUCAGUGACUUAGCAUCACUGCUGUUUGCUGACACCUUUGGAAAUAAGGACCUUUAAGAAUUGUUUAUGAUGAAAAAUUGUAAGAAGAACCUUUGUACUGUCCUUUGAUGCUUUUGCACAAGCCUCUCAAGUACAAAAUGCCAUCUGUUUGCAGUGAUCUGUCUGCUGCUGUUUCAAGUCUUUCGAUGAUUCUUUGCACCUAAAAAAAGUCAGAUUUGAUAACAGAGCCAUUGACUCCAGGAGCAGCUAUGCCUCCACCAUUUCAUUUGGCAUGCCUGAGCAGCUCAGUAGAGAAGACACAAAUGAAAAUGGUCCUAAUUCUGGCAGUGUUGCUUGCAGAAAAGAGAUCACUGGUUUCACCAGUGUCAGCACGCUGAGUGCAUUCAGGGCUUGUCUCCCCACUAAAACGAUUCCAAAAAGGUUUCUCUGUAUGGCCAGGAAACUGGGAGGAGAUUAUAUUGCUUCUAUAUGUUCUGUGGCUAAACCAAGAGCGCUUCUUUCUAACACUGUUCUGAAAAAUAAAUGAUUUUCUGUGAUUCAUACUCUGGAAUUCUGUACUGAGCAAAGCAAAUUAAUCAUUUCUUAUUUAAAGUAGCUGGAAAAAAGAAUGCAUCGGUCCAUGGCCACAAAGGAGUAUAGUUCUCCCCUUUCCUCCCGGUUCCUCCUUUGGACCCCAGCCUUUGUGCCACAGUGAUGUGGUCAUUUAUUUGUGUACCCACAGCCCCCAUAACAUUGCUCUGCAGCAGUGAGCAAUGGCUGGACGCAGCCGGGGACAGUACAGCAUCAUCUUCUGUUCCAGGCACCUAGACCUCUCUUCAUGGGACUUCAAACCCUCACGUUUCUCUCUGUAUCCCAAGAUUACGUACAGCCUGGGUCUCUGCUGGAUCUGAUCCUCUUUAACUUUUCUAUGUAUCCUCUUUAACUUUUUGCUGCUCCAAAAGUAAUGCCUCCUACUUUAAGAUGUUGACCCAUGACAUCAGAGGCAGAUGUUGGUGCUAUGGCAGUAGAGGCUGAACCUUCCCACCAAUAUCCUGUUACUUUUUGUUGCCAUGAGACAAAUGGCAGCAGAGGGGCCAUCUGAGACAAUGGCAUCUGAUGUAGAAACGUGGAUGAAGCAAAGGGGUGCAGCUGAAUUCCUCCAUGUGGAAAAAAUGGCACCCACUGACAUUCACUGAUGCUUUCUGAACAUUUCUGGAGACCAAGCAGCAAAUGUGAGCAGAGUGAGGUGGUGCGUAAUGCAUUUCAGCAUGCUGACAGUGCUGUGACAGUGCCGUGAAAGACGAGCCCUGUUCCAGUUGGCCAUACAAAGCUGUCCUACCACAGAAUGAGGAGUAUUUUGAUCACCUCAUCUAUGCGAAUCAGGCAGUGGUUUUGACUGUGUUGAAAAAUACUGUUUUGUAGCUGAGAAUUUGCUAUACCCAAUAGUGUUAUUGUGCUCUUUGUAUCUAUUGUAGUUUCCAUGCAAAUAAAUAGGAGUCAUUACUUUCAGUGCAACCAUCACACAUAUGUAUGUGUUUGUUUGCGGGCACUGGGUCAAACCAGUGGGUUUUUGCCCUUUUCUUUGCAGCAGAUCUUUUUGACUCCCCUGGGUCAUUUUACAGAUCAAACCACAGGGGUAGUUGAGAUCUCCCAAUAGAGACUCAGCAGCCGGAGUGGUAAAUGGCAGAAGUGUCCAUAAACUUUCCAGACACAGAGAACAAAAUACCAGGAAAUAGCCAGAGAGAGCCAGGUGAAGGAGAGAAAUGUGCCAGCACAUCCCUUGAAGUGCUGGCAGUGACUGUGAGACACCUUGCUGGCUGGUUCCUGAUGCUGACUCCCACCUUUCAUCUACAGCUGCAGGACUGUGGAUGUCCCAGCUGCCAUGCAGCCAUCAGUCAGCAGAACAAGGAGUGUGCAGCUGCUCCAUCUCCAGUGCUCGAGCUGUGACAACCCACACAUGUCAUUUAUGCAAGCAAUAUUCCUGUGUCUGUAGGUCCCCAUAAAGGAGGACCAGGUGUGACAUGUGCCCAAGGGACCCUUCGCAGAGGAGAGCACAGGCCUGCUGCUGUAAGAAACACGACCACUGAGUGAGGGUUUCAUUGGCACUCUGCUUGCCUGACGUUCUGGCAGCGUGGAAGGAGAUCUCCACGUCAGCAACUUCAGGGAGGUUUGGAGGUAGGACCCAAACGCUGACAGAGAGCCCUGGUGUCCUCAUCCUUGGUCCCUGGAGUGGAGAUGCUGGAGAUGUGGGCCCAUCUGUCAUGGACAGCCUUGCAGGGUGCUAUCAGGAUGAAGAUCACAGCACUCAGUUGGCUUCCUCAGGUAACGCUUUCCUACCACUGUACAUCAGUCAGUGUGUCAGGGUUGGUGGUCUCUGCACAUCUUGUAUGCACGUUGGCUAAUUAGGAGUAAUUGAGUUUCUCCAGUUCUAUUGGCUAGAAGGUGCUAAGGAAGCUGACACAAUUGUUACAAACAAUUUCAACUGCCAGGCUAUUAAUUUUAAUUAGGUUGGCUUUGUCUAGACAUGGAGCUGCCUUGUCAGGUGAUGGGAACACUGUGUGGAAACUCAUUAGGCCAACAUUCUAAUUCUCUGCCAUCCCUUUGCGAACAACCUCCUGCAGAUGCUGGAAAAGAAGCAUUUGAAGGCCAGCUCUGUGACGUUGGCCAAGUUCACACAAGUACUCAUGUUGCCUAAAUAAGACCCAUUUAAAUACAGUAGAAAUCUAAAAUUGUACCAGAUAACCCAUAGUAAGGUUGAGAACAAAGAGCACUUUUGCUGCACAGUGCUUUAAGAUGCGUGUUUUUGAGAAAUGAAGGCAUGGAGAUUGCCUGUCUGAUACUAAAAAGCCAUUUCAGUGAGCUCAGGGUACCUGAAGAUGGGUAGGCCACAGAUCUAAAAUUGCCCGAGCAUCCAUUAACAAUACAUACCCUGCUGUCCUUGGGAUUCCUUGCAUUCUAUUUGUGCAUAGCCCAGCUGCCUGGACGUUCCUUAAUCAACAGCCCAUUGCCUUGUGAAGUUUUGCUUUGCUGGGUUAAGAAUACAGACUGUAACCAACUCCAGUGAUCGACCCUUAUGUGCUCCAGUGAGACUGCUUCUAUCAUUGAAAGCAAACAAAAAAGACCAUUAGAAACAAAAUGAAAAUUACCCUCCUUUUUUUUUCUUUUAAAAUACUUGCCUGCUCAGAUCUUGACUUUCCCAUUUGUUAAGAUGGAUGUUGUAGAGUCUGGCAAUGAUGUAUCAAAAAAUACCUUGCAUUUACCUUGACUUCCUAUUCAGGGAAGAUCCCUAAAAUGAUUGCUAUUGUCAUUAUUAAGUUCUAAAGGGCACCACUUUACCAAUUCAAUGAACACUGAUGAAAGACAGUGGAAAUAACUUGUACCAGAGAAGUGAGAGGAGGCUGCACAGGUAGUCGUAGCUCACAGGUGAAUGAGUGCAAGUGAUGGUGAUAGGAGCAGACAGUGUGGUCCAGCACUGCAGUUAGGAGCCCAAAAGCUGGGUUGCACAGCCUCCUCCUGGCGAGAGCUGGAGGAGCAGCUCUCACACUCUUGGCAGUGUUGCUACAGAGCAGUGGGAAGGACAGAUGCACCAUGGUGAGAGAUUCAUUAGUUUGCUAGCUUCGCAAUCAGCAGUGCUGGAAAGUAGUACAGGAGCCAGAGAUGGGAGUGAGUUGCAUGUUUUCUUUGUAAGUCUGCAGUCUGUGUUACAUUCAGAGUAAAACAUUUCAGGAUAUCUAGUUCCUGAGCUCAGUUUGUUCAGUUCUGGAGCAGCAUGUUUAAUCCUCCUGGUCCUUAUGCCCCUCAGUAAUGCUUACCAGCAGUGAACUACAGAAUUCCUGGGCAGUCCCGAGAUAUGCAGCCUGUUUGUUUUCCUGUUUUGUACCCAUCUUUGAAGAACUUUUUCUUUCAGACUUCUUCAAGAGCAUUAUAGACAAACUUUCAUUUGCUUGGAAGAAGGCUUCAGCCCUUUUCAUCUGCUUCUAUAAAUUACAGCACUGACUCUUUUGAUCUGGCUGCUGGUCAGGGAUCAUAGAAUAGCUUAGGUUGUAAGGGACUUUAAAGAUCACCCAGUUCCAACUCUCCUGCUGUGGGCAGGAACAUGCCACCAGAACAGGCUGCUCAGGAGCCCAUCCAACCUCACCUUGAGCACCUCCAGGGAUGGGUCACCCAUAGCUUUUCUGGCAGCACUGCCAGUGCCUCACGGCCCUCUGAUUAAAGAAUUUCUGCCAAAUCUUAACCAAACAAACAUCUAAUUUCCCCUCAUUUAGUUUAAAGCUAUUCCUCCUUGUCCUGUCACUAUCAGACCAAAAAAGAGUUGGUCUCCAUCAUGUUUAUAAGCUCCCCUCAAGUACUGGAAGGUUGCACUGAGGUGUAUCUAAACCCUUUUUUUCUCCAAGCUAAGCAAGCCCAGGUCUCUCAACCCUGCUUCAUAGGAGAGGUGCUCCAGCCCUCUGAUCAUCUUUGUGGCCCUCUCUGGACCCUCUCCAUCAGCCCCCCAUUCUUCCUGUGCUGGGGUCCCCAGACUUGGAUGCAGUUCUCCAGAUGGGGUCUCAUGAGGGCAGAGCAGUGAGGAACAAUCCCCUCCCCUCCCUGCUGGCCGUCCUUCUCCUGAUGCAGCCCAGGAUACUACUGGCCUUUUGGGCUGCACGCAAACACUGCUGACUCGUGUUUUUCCUCCACCAGAACUCCCAGGUUCUCCUCUGCAGGGCUGCUCUCAGUGAGUUCAUCUCCCAGUCUGUACACAUAUCUGGGACUGCUCCGACCCAAGUGCAACACCUUGCACUUGGCCCUGUUAAGCCUCACUAGAUUCUUAUGUGCCCACUUUUUGAGCAAGUCCAUGUUCCUCUGAAUGGCAUCCCUCUCUUCUACUGUGUCAGCUGCACCAUUCAUUGUGGUGUCAUCAGCAAACUUGCUCAGGGUACACUCAAUCCUACUGUCUAUGUCAGUGAUAAAGAUGCUGAAGAGAUCCAAUCCCAGUACUGACCCCUGAGAGACACCACAUGUGACCAUCUCCAUCUGGACAUAAAGCCAUUAACUACAACACUCUGGCUGUGACCAUCCAACCAAUCCUUUAACCACUGAAUAGUCUAUCCUUCAAAUCUCUCUCUCUUCAAAUUAAAGAUGUGGUGUGGGUCCUUGUCAAAGGCCAAGCACAGGUCCUUUGUGAUGGUGGGGGACAAGUCUGUGCAUGUGUCACACUUCAGGUACCAGAAAUAAGUCUGUUUUACCAGCUUGCAUGGCAAGUGAUUUUGUUGGUAUCCUCAAGGAAGUCAUCAUGUAAUGUGAGGGAAGCUUCAGUUCCUAGGACUUGGCUUGUAGAUAGCCUUCCAAAUCUUGUGCAGGCCAGUGCAUCAAAAGCAAGAAAACACCACCCUUAGAUUUCCAUGCAGGCAACAUCAGGCUUGCAAACCUCUCCCAUGCUGAGCUGAUGGGAGAGCUGCAGAGGCUUUGCAGCUUGGCACAGUAUUAUGCGUGCCUUUAUCUCUGUGGAACUUACAUUUCUGCUAGCAGCUGUUUUGCAGCUCUCUUAACUGCUUCCAAAAGCAGUGCUUGGACACAGGCCACAGCUCUCAAUCCCAGAUCUUGGGAGAAUACGCCUGGGCAGAAGGAAAAUAAAUGAGAGCAUAACACAGCACUAAGAAGUACACACCCCCAGUCUGGUGGCUGCUGCCAGAGGUGGCUGCUCCCAGGAUCCCAGCCUGCUGCCAUCUGCAGAUGUCCUCCCCUCAGAGCAGUGCUUCUCCUGGCUGCACGUUUAGAGGUAUGCAGACAUACCUCUGAAUGUUCAUGUGUCUGUUCAGUCUGCAGUUCUUGACACAAGUUGUCACAUGAAGGCCAGAACGUGCAAUCAUCUUACAACAGCAAGAGAUGGUGGCAAGCUCACACUGCUUUAAAAAUUCACCCAUCUCAAUAGAAAAACCCUCCUUUUUACAGAGCUAACCCGAGGAACUUCCUCACCUUUAGUCGUAUCUCUUGCUUUACUGCCCCUUUGAAAGUCACCUGUACUGCAGUCACAUUCUGGGGACAUGUUACAUCCCUCAUAGAUUUCAGCAGCCACAUUCUGGGGACAUGUUACAUCCCUCAUAGAUUUCAGCAGCCACAUUCUGGGGGUGUGUUACAUCCCUCAUAGAUAGGAAUCCCCUCUCAGCACAACAUCAAUCUCCUUUUGAACAUCUUGCUGAGGGCCAGGUGCAGAAACACGCACGGACCAUUUCUACUCUCAUCACUAACAGCUCUUCCUGAGCUCACUCUCAGGCAAGGUUUCUCCCCACAUUACAGGUUUCCAGCCUUCUCCCACUCCCACAAACUUGCAUUAUUUUCCCUCAGUUGUUUCAGCCUGAUUUUCCUAAUUCUCAUUUCCAAAUCACAUGUUUUUUAUCAGCCUGUGUUUCUAAUCUCUCACAACCUCUUCAUGCAGCUGCUCUGCUCACACCCCUCCCAAAUCUGCAUCCACUGCAGAAGACAUGAAUGAGCUUCUUGCUCCUCCCACUGCUAAAGCACGUGCUGCAGGUUAAGCCACCACAAAUGAAACGUGUGGUCAGACUGGGAAAUUCUCACAGCAAACUUGCAGGAAUGACAGUGCUGUGUGGGGAAGCCAUUUCCUGGUCCAUCCGCUGCCUACUGACAUCUUCCCAGUGCCACAGGGCUGAGAGUGGCUGCCCUGCAAGUCCAACGCACCUUGGGACUGGAGAAAUGUUGCUCCUCAGGCCCAGAAGUGCCCAACAGCAACACAGGCACAUCACAGCUCGUUCACCACAGGCAGCAGGUGCCUUGUAGUUGUGUCUGAAAGACAUGGCGAUUGACUUCUGCUCUUCAUGUCUGAAGGUGUUUAAUAAUACUCUGCUUAAGAGUAUAAUGGUGCCUUUAUUUACAGAUCUCUACUGCAGAGGUCUCUGAAGGGCAGUUUUAUAUAGCAAGAAUUAUUUAAAAGGCAGUUUGUCAUUGUUCGUGCUGGCUGUGUUGGCUAACCAAAUAGAACAUGCAUGGAAAUGGUGCCCAGUGAGAACUGGCCAAGGGAAGGUAUAUCACUCACCUGGGCAGUGGCACAGGGUGAAGGAGCAGGUGGAUAAAAUGGCACAGGAUGAUAAAGUCCAUCAUGCUUCCUUGUGCCCUGCUGCCCCUGCUGAGGUGCCAACAGGUGCUGUCUGGAAGCUCCCGUUCUUCCUGAAGAACAUCUCAUUCAUGAGAGUCUGCCAGGGACCUGCAUGGAGUGGGUGUGUGUGGAAAACAGGCUUAUCUUUCUCUUAUAAUGUGGAAAGCUGGAGGUGCAUAUCAUGGCGGAAACAGAACACUUCCAGCAGAGCUCUUGAGGCAUUGAAUUCAUUAAUCACUCCUAACAAAACUGUCUGAUGCACUGACCAGUGUAUGCAUACAUUGCUUGCAAGGCAGUACUACUUCUAGCAUCACUGAAUCUGGUGCGUUGCUCCACUGCCUAAAAACCUGGCAGGAAACAGAUGUGUUGUUCCACACACACUUCUAAGAAGUUACUACAGUCAUCUCUGCAAAAAAGUAGUUGUAGUGUUUCCUGCAAAAUACCUUUUACAGAGGUUCCCAAACAGUCGCCAUUCUGCAGCCAUUGAAAGCACGUUCCUGCCCAGCAGUACUCAUAGAGAAGCAGCAAGGUACUGAUCUGCUGGGUGAUGCUAUCCAAGUGAACUGUGCAGCAACUGGUAGAAAUGGACAGCAACUGGGAGCUGAACUCUGACCAGGCACUUGGGUUCA